UUGUAUUGAAUUGUGGGUAGUAUCAACCCCGCAAAUGACCAUGUUGUUCACUUGUUCCCUCGAGCUAAAUCUAGGGCCGAGGGGCAACGUUAGAGCAAGAGCGUUGGACUAGUAACCGGAAGGUUGGAAGAUCGAAAGCCCCAGCUGACAAGCAUGAUCUGCAAGCAAAGCUAUAGUUGCGUUACGGUGAGAUUGCAAAGAGGACCCUACCACCACCCAAACUUCCUGUUGGGCCCAGCCACAAGUUUGCCUUCAAUUACUAUAAUGGCAGAGAUGGGCGUAGAGAGUCUGCACCAGCAAUGGUUGUGAUGUCGUGUCAAAAGGCCUUGACUGCUUGCCAAGUUCUGGAGGUGCCAGCAAAGCGUCCAGUCACACCUGGAAAUGUUCUCAGUGAGCUAACGCUGUCUACAGAUCAGCCAUACCUCUGAACAACAUUGUUUUUUUCCUGACUUAUUGUAGGUCUGACAGCAGAGCACAAUGUUGCUAUCACUAUUGUUCAAAUCUUGUAAAAUAUUAAAUUGUUAAUAAAUGAUGUAAUGUUUGAAGAAAUGUUUUGUAAUGACCAAUUGCUCAUGUUACUAGCAUAUUUACUUUGUGAGUCAAUCACAGUUUUGGGUACCUGGUUAAAGGUAGACUCAGCGAUAUGGCGUAGAUGCAGAAAGUAAACAGCAUAGUGGGUCAACUUCCGCAACAACUAAGAGCGUUGAAGCGCGAAGCUCAACUUCUCUGCUGUUUGGUGCCCUGGCCACCACACUGAACUGUGUUAUGCGAACCCAUGCAGAUGCUGUGGGAUAGCGAAGUGUUGCAUCUCGCUCAUCUCUCUCCGGUGAUGCUCGUGGCUACUUCCUUUCACCGAGUCUACCUUUAAUAUCCCCAAAGUAGCUCAUCAUUAUCAGGAGUCGACUCAACCAUUCAUGCAUGUAGUCUGCUACAUAUUUUUCACUCCCCCUAUAGUACCAGCAUGUUCUCUCAUUGUGACAGCAUCAUGUUUUUUUUCCCCCUGUACUCUUGCUGGAUUUAUUUACAUGAUCAAGUGUAGCAACUUUGAACCUCCCAACUUUUGCCCCAAAUAGCCUUAUGAAUUGUACUUUGUUUUGCAUUUGUUCUGGCUUUGAAGUCAACAUGAUCUUAACUGUAACUAUAUUUUUCCUCAAUGCCAAGUUAGCUCCUGCAAGCAUCUGGGUUCUCUUAAAUUGUUCCGUGGAAGGUGCAGAAUAGGUUUGUUAGGACCAAACUCUGCAAUAUUACAUGCGAAUGGACCUUAAGGAAAUUAAUUGAGGAUUAAUUGAAGUGGCCACAAAUAGAUAAUUGUUCUAACCUCACCCAGACUACAUAGUCUGACAUACUAUAAAAGAAGAAGCACAUACCGUGCUUCUACACCUGCAUUGCUUGCUGUUUGGGGUUUUAGGCUGGGUUUCUGUACAGCACUUUGAGAUAUCAGCUGAUGUACGAAGAGCUAUAUAAAUAAAUUUGAUUUGA